ACCCUCCCUCCCAGACCCUCCUACUUCCUGGACAGCAUCAACAUGGAUGCUGUCCAGGAGGUGGGAGGGUCUGGGAGGGAGGGU
rnacentral:miRNA from 1 species